rnacentral:rRNA from 1 species
UAGCAGAGGGUGCAAGCGUUGUUCGGAAUUAUUGGGCGUAAAGGGCGCGUAGGCGGUGCGGUAAGUCUGUAGUGAAAUCUCUGGGCUCAACUCAGAGUCUGCUAUAGAAACUGCCGUGCUGGAGUGUGGGAGAGGUGAGUGGAAUUCCCGGUGUAGCGGUGGAAAUGCGUAGAUAUCGGGAGGAACACCUGUGGCGAAAGCGGCUCACUGGACCACAACGUGACGCU